UUGGAGGCUGGUAUGUCCUCAGUGCCCAGA
rnacentral:piRNA from 1 species